CGGGGUGAGUAACGCGUGAGUAACCUGCCUUUCAGAGGGGGAGUAACGUUCUGAAAAGAACGCUAAUACCGCAUGAGACUACAGAGCUGCAUGGCUCAGUGGUCAAAGGAGCAAUCCGCUGAAAGAUGGACUCGCGUCCGAUUAGCUAGUUGGUGAGGUAAUGGCCCACCAAGGCAACGAUCGGUAGCCGGACUGAGAGGUUGAACGGCCACAUUGGAACUGAGACACGGUCCAAACUCCUACGGGAGGCAGCAUG
rnacentral:rRNA from 1 species